UUACUUACCUGGACGGGGUCAACUCGCGAUCAAUAAGACGAGUGGCUAGUGACCGCAUUGCACAUAUCGUUGGGGUGCUAUGCUUAAGGUCUUCCCUUGAGGAAGAGCCUACGUCAUUAUUUGUGGCAGAGGGGGUUUGCGUUCGCGCAGCCCCUAC
rnacentral:snRNA from 1 species